GGGGAUUUAGCUCUGUGGUAGAGCAUUCGACUGCAGAUCGAGAGGUCCCUGGUUCGAACACGGGUGUCCCCU
rnacentral:tRNA from 1 species